GGGGAAUAUUGCACAAUGGGGGAAACCCUGAUGCAGCGACGCCGCGUGAGCGAAGAAGUAUUUCGGUAUGUAAAGCUCUAUCAGCAGGGAAGAUAAUGACGGUACCUGACUAAGAAGCACCGGCUAACUACGUGACAGCAGCCGCGGUAAUACGUAGGGUGCGAGCGUUAUCCGGAUUUACUGGGUGUAAAGGGAGCGUAGACGGUUAUGUAAGUCUGAUGUGAAAACCCGGGGCUCAACCCCGGGACUGCAUUGGAAACUAUGUAACUAGAGUGUCGGAGAGGUAAGUGGAAUUCCUAGUGUAGCGGUGAAAUGCGUAGAUAUUAGGAGGAACACCAGUGGCGAAGGCGGCUUUCUGGACGAUAACUGACGCUGAGGCGCGAAAGCCAGGGGAGCAAACG
rnacentral:rRNA from 1 species